AUUGAACGCUGGCGGCAUGCCUAACACAUGCAAGUCGAGCGGAUGAAGGGAGCUUGCUCCUGUCUUCUGCUGCGGACGGGUGAGUAAUUCCUACGAAUCUGACUUGUCGUUGGGGCUAACGUCCCUUAACGGGCGCUAAUACCGCAUACGUCCUUAUGUAGAACCUCGGGGUUCUUCGGACCUCACCCUUUUUGCUGUGCCUGAGUCGUAUUAGCUAGUUGGUAAGGUAACGGCCUACCAAGGCAACGAUGCGUAGCUGGUCUGAGAGGGUGAUCGGUCACACUGGAACUGAGACACGGUCCAGACUCCUACGGGAGGCAGCAGUAGGGAAUAUUCCGCAAUGGGCGAAAGCCUGACGGAGCAACGCCGCGUGAGUGAUGAAGGUCUUCGGAUCGUAAAACUCUGUUAGUAGGGAAGAACAGAUGUGUAAGUAACUAUGCACGUCUUGACGGUACCUAAUCAGAAAGCCACGGCUAACUACGUG
rnacentral:rRNA from 1 species